AUGUCUAAGUCAGCAUCUCCCAAAGAGCCUGAACAGGUGCAGAGAGCUUUCAAACAACCGAUGAGAGUCUGAGCAGCCAUUCAGAAAAAUGGGGAAUGCUCAUGGACUGUGUGGUAAUGAGAGACCAAAACACCAAGUGCUCCAGGGGCUUUGGGUUUGUCACAUGGAGGAGGUGGAUGCAGCCAUGGAUGCAAGGCUACAUAAAGUGGAUGAGAGUUGUAAAACCAAAGAGAGCUGUCUCAAGAGAAGAUUCUCAAAGACCAGGUGCCUACUUAACUGUGAAAAAGAUAUUUGUUGGUGGCAUUAAAGAAGACACUGAAGAACAUCACCUAAGAGAUUAUUUUGAACAGUAUGGGAAAAUUGAAGUGAUUGAAAUCAUGACUGACCAAGGCAGUGGCAAGAAAAGGGGCUUUGCCUUUGUAACCUUUGACAACCAUGACUCCGUGGAUAAGACUGUCAUUCAGAAAUAGCACACUGUGAAUGGCCACAACUGUGAAACUAGGAAAGCCCUGUCAAAGCAAGAGAUGGCUAGUGCUUCCUCCAGCCAGAGGUUGAAGUGGAUCUGGAAACUUUGGUGGUGGUCGUGGGGUGGUUAUGGUGGGAAUGACAACUUUGUUCAUGGAGGAAACGUCAGUGGUCAUGAUGGCUUUGGUGGCAGCCAUGGUGGUGGUGGAUAUGGUGGCUGUGGGGAUGGCUAUAAUGGAUUUGGUAAUGAUGGAAGCAAUUUUGGAGGUGGUGGAAGCAACAACAAUUUUGGCAAUUACAACAAUCUGUCUUCAGAUUUUGGACCCACAAAGGGAGGAAACUUUGGAGGCAGAAGCUCUGGCCCCUAACGUGGGGGAGGCCAAUACUUUGCCAAACCACGAAACCAAGGUGGCUAUGGUAGUUCUGGUAGCAGCACUAGCUAUAGCAGUGGCAGAUUUCAA
rnacentral:lncRNA from 1 species